rnacentral:rRNA from 1 species
AUUGAACGCUGGCGGCAGGCCUAACACAUGCAAGUCGAACGGUAACAGGAAGAAGCUUGCUUCUUUGCUGACGAGUGGCGGACGGGUGAGUAAUGUCUGUGAAACUGCCUGAUGGAGGGGGAUAACUACUGGAAACGGUAGCUAAUACCGCAUAACGUCGCAAGACCAAAGAGGGGGACCUUCGGGCCUCUUGCCAUCGGAUGUGCCCAGAUGGGAUUAGCUAGUAGGUGGGGUAACGGCUCACCUAGGCGACGAUCCCUAGCUGGUCUGAGAGGAUGACCAGCCACACUGGAACUGAGACACGGUCCAGACUCCUACGGGAGGCAGCAGUGGGGAAUAUUGCACAAUGGGCGCAAGCCUGAUGCAGCCAUGCCGCGUGUAUGAAGAAGGCCUUCGGGUUGUAAAGUACUUUCGGCGGGGAGGAAGGGAGUAAAGUUAAUACCUUUGCUCAUUGACGUUACCCGCAGAAGAAGCACCGGCUAACUCCGUG